rnacentral:lncRNA from 10 species
CAGCCUUCCGCCCAAGGACAAAUGGGGUCAGGGCAGCAGCUGUACCUGGCGAGAAUGCACUCCCUUCCUGGGGGGCCACUUUUUUCCAGGAGUGCAUGGCCCUGGGCUGGCUGCUGAGACCUGUGCCCAGCCCCUCCGUGGUGGUACUCUCGUCAGACACCAGCCUCUGCGGCACCCAGGGUGGAGGUCCUGCUAUCUCCUCUCUGCAGAUGAGGAGUUCUCUCAUCCGAACCUCACGGCUCAAGGAACAGAAAGCUGGACCAACGGUGGUCAAAUACAGUGGGCGCUUAACUACCUCAUGGGAGUGAAUGGAAAGGAGUUCCCAAGGACCCCGGGUUCUAGCCCCAGGGCCCUGUGGAUGGAUCUCACGUGGAAAGGGGGCUUUGCCUCUCAAGGAUCUGGCGAUGCGGAGAGCAGCCUGGGUUAUCCUGCAGCCACGAGAAUCUAAUACAUUCAUGAAAGGAGCCUGGAGGUGGGUGGCACCGGCGUUGAGAAGGAGGCAUGGAGUGGCAUCACGGUUCAAAGCUGGCAGCCCCUGGUCCCCAGACUGCACCGGGCCAGUUCCAGCUUCUGGGGCCUGAGAGGCACGGGCCUCGGGUUCCCUGUGAGAAUUGUUCCUGGUGAUAGACCUGUGGGCUCUCUGGGGGCUGAGCGAGAGCCGUCCUAACGGGGAGAUGGCCCAUCCAGGGCCAACACGGCACCUGUGCGUUCUCCCAUCCUCCUUCCCAAGGGAGUCCUGGCCAGGCCCCUCUCCUGUGUCCGAGGAGUCUUGCCAGCCCUCAUGGUCUGUGUCACGAUCUGCAGUAGCUGUCCCAUCAGGGCUGAUCUGGAAGGAGCCUUUCCUCCACAUGGCUUUUCCCAAGUCAGCCCUCAAGUGCUGUGAGCCUGGACCGCGCCCCUGUCCUCCAGGCAGCUGCCUGCACUCCACACCCAUGCGCGUGGCAGCUCUGCGCCCAGCAGCCCUCCUGGUGUGAUUUUUAUUUAUUUACCUGAAUACUGGAACAGCUGCUUUAUUGAGAUUCAUUGGUCGCAAGGCUUAAUUAAAAUAAUGCCACGCGUCUCACUCAGCGUGGGUCACCAAAGCAAAUGUUUGUUUUGCUGCUGUCAGUUAGGGCCACGUGUGAUGAAGCGGCGGCUCCCGGCAGGGAAGGCACGUGGGCCCUGACCCCCUGCACCUCCCUGGGUUGCA